rnacentral:rRNA from 1 species
UACAGAGGAUGCAAGCGUUAUCCGGAAUGAUUGGGCGUAAAGCGUCUGUAGGUGGCUUUUUAAGUCCGCCGUCAAAUCCCAGGGCUCAACUCUGGACAGGCGGUGGAAACUACCAAGCUGGAGUACGGCAGGGGCAGAGGGAAUUUCCGGUGGAGCGGUGAAAUGCGUAGAUAUCGUGAGGAAGACCAGUGGCGAAGGCGGCUCUCUGGGACGGUACUGACGCUGAGACGCGAAAGCGUGGGGAGCGAACAGG